rnacentral:rRNA from 1 species
GACGAACCUUUGCGGCGUGCUUAACACAUGCAAGUCGAACGGAAAGGCCCUGCUUUUGUGGGGUGCUCGAGUGGCGAACGGUUGAGUAACACGUGAGUAACCUGCCCUUGACUUUGGGAUAACUUCAGGAAACUGGGGCUAAUACCGGAUAGGAGCUCCUGCUGCAUGGUGGGGGUUGGAAAGUUUCGGCGGUUGGGGAUGGACUCGCGGCUUAUCAGCUUGUUGGUGGGGUAGUGGCUUACCAAGGCUUUGACGGGUAGCCGGCCUGAGAGGGUGACCGGCCACAUUGGGACUGAGAUACGGCCCAGACUCCUACGGGAGGCAGCAGUGGGGAAUAUUGCACAAUGGGCGGAAGCCUGAUGCAGCAACGCCGCGUGCGGGAUGACGGCCUUCGGGUUGUAAACCGCUUUCGCCUGUGACGAAGCGUGAGUGACGGUAAUGGGUAAAGAAGCACCGGCUAACUACGUGCCAGCAGCCGCGGUGAUACGUAGGGUGCGAGCGUUGUCCGGAUUUAUUGGGCGUAAAGGGCUCGUAGGUGGUUGAUCGCGUCGGAAGUGUAAUCUUGGGGCUUAACCCUGAGCGUGCUUUCGAUACGGGUUGACUUGAGGAAGGUAGGGGAGAAUGGAAUUCCUGGUGGAGCGGUGGAAUGCGCAGAUAUCAGGAGGAACACCAGUGGCGAAGGCGGUUCUCUGGGCCUUUCCUGACGCUGAGGAGCGAAAGCGUGGGGAGCGAACAGGCUUAGAUACCCUGGUAGUCCACGCUGUAAACGGUGGGUACUAGGUGUGGGGUCCAUUCCACGGGUUCCGUGCCGUAGCUAACGCUUUAAGUACCCCGCCUGGGGAGUACGGCCGCAAGGCUAAAACCCAAAGGAAUUGACGGGGCCCCGCACAAGCGGCGGAGCAUGCGGAUUAAUUCGAUGCAACGCGUAGAACCUUACCUGGGUUUGACAUGGAUCGGGAGUGCUCAGAGAUGGGUGUGCCUCUUUUGGGGUCGGUUCACAGGUGGUGCAUGCCUGUCGUCAGCUCGUGUCGUGAGAUGUUGGGUUAAGUCCCGCAACGAGCGCAACCCUUGUUCACUGUUGCCAGCACGUUAUGGUGGGGACUCAGUGGAGACCGCCGGGGUCAACUCGGAGGAAGGUGGGGAUGACGUCAAGUCAUCAUGCCCCUUAUGUCCAGGGCUUCACGCAUGCUACAAUGGCUGGUACAGAGAGUGGCGAGCCUGUGAGGGUGAGCGAAUCUCGGAAAGCCGGUCUCAGUUCGGAUUGGGGUCUGCAACUCGACCUCAUGAAGUCGGAGUCGCUAGUAAUCGCAAAUCAGCAACGCUGCGGUGAAUACGUUCCCGGGGCU